UACGAAGGGGACUGGCGUUGUUCGGAAUCACUGGGCGUAAAGCGCACGUAGGCGGAUAUGUCAGUCAGGGGUGAAAUCCCGGGGCUCAACCUCGGAACUGCCCUUGAUACAGCAUAUCUUGAGUCCGAUAGAGGUGGGUGGAAUUCCUAGUGUAGAGGUGAAAUUCGUAGAUAUUAGGAAGAACACCGGUGGCGAAGGCGGCCCACUGGAUCGGUACUGACGCUGAGGUGCGAAAGCGUGGGGAGCAAACAGG
rnacentral:rRNA from 1 species